UCCUUGAAAGCAUUGAUCUAUGGAACUGGUGUGUACUUAUCACCAAUGCAUGCUUCAAAAGAAGUAGCAUACCAAAUUUUUUCAUCACUAAGACCAUAUAAAUUGAAGAUUGCAGAAGCUUCAAGAGAUCGGUGCCUGGGAACUGCAGUUGAGGUUGCACUGGGCAUAAUUCAAGGACCAUCUGCAGAAAUGUCUCGAGGUGUAGUCAAAAGGGCUGGAGGUAAUAGCAGAAUUAUUGUGUGUGCUGGUGGACCUAAUACUUAUGGCCCUGGAUCAGUCCCACAUUCUUUUAGUCACCCAAAUUA
rnacentral:misc_RNA from 1 species